UACGUAGGGUGCAAGCGUUACUCGGAAUUAUUGGGCGUAAAGCGCAUGUAGGCGGUUUUGUAAGUCUGAUGUGAAAUCCCUGGACUCAAUUCAGGAACUGCAUUGGAUACUGCAAGACUAGAGUACGGGAGAGGUAGGUGGAAUUCCUGGUGUAGAGGUGAAAUUCGUAGAUAUCAGGAGGAACAACAGAGGCGAAGGCGACUUACUGGACCGUAACUGACGCUGAGAUGCGACAGUGUGGGGAGCAAACAGG
rnacentral:rRNA from 1 species